CUUAUCUUAAUUUUUAAGUUCUUUUCCCAAUUGUCGUCAGCCUCUCUUAGUUGUGUUUUGAGUUCUUCCACAGCCUGUAUCCAAUUCGCUGGGAUUUCUGGUUUAUGGUUUGCUGAUCUCUCCCCCUCUGUUCCAUUUGUCACAUCUCCAGGGUAUCCCUUUUGAAUCACUGUUUUCUUGGCUAUUCUCAUCAUCCUGGGACUGUGAAGAUUUUGUGGUUAGAGCCUCUGGGCUCACUCCAUGCCCAGAAACCAGAGGGCUGAUCCUUGUCUGGAUUGCAAACUGACCUUGGCUUCACUGGAGAAUGUGUGAAGCCAUCUAGGACUGAUAUGUUCUAAGGCAGUGCAGAUUGCUACAGAUGCCUGAGGGAGUUUUUGAUGUGUGGCCUGUUAUCUAUACCAUCUGGGUACAUCAUGCCUGAGGGUGACUUUAUACUGAAGGUUCUAUGGAAACAUGUAUGUUGAGAAUUAAAUUGUGUUCCAGGAAAGCAUGUACUUACUGAAGCUAUAAAAUAAAUGCAAACCUCAUGCAAUGGCAGAACACUGAGCACAGGUCUGAGGACUCAGUUGUUUCUCAUCUCAUUAUUCACCUGACCUAUCCACCUAGUCAGAAGGACCCUCCUCAUUGAGAGACUACAGGCUUGGCUUUCAAAAUUCUGGCGCCCCAGAACAGCAUCUGGACUGAAGAAUUUCUGACUAGAGUCACUGAAGACCUGUGACAAGGCCAAAGUCAAGCUGACUGGUGAUGGCCUAGGAUGCAGUGGAUGAUCUUGGCAUCUUGAUAUCACCUGAUCAAGCUCCAAGUGCUCUCUCUGCAGCGCUUACUUCAGCUGCUUUUAUGGUUAAUAGGCUUCCUCAUGCAGAAAAUUCUUGGCAACCUCUAGAAAAGUUCUCCCAAAGACUGAUUACUUUCCUGUUGCCUCAGGCCAACUGCUGAUCAUCAUCCUUCUGCAGCGUGACAAACAUAGUUAAUAUCAUACCCUGAAGCUGGGCCUGAAACAGCCAGUCAUGCACCAGUUAAAGAACAAUUUGGGAGUGUUCCAUUUGGGGAGUGGGGUUCUCUUUUUCCCUUCCAGAAUUGUAUGCGUUUUCUAUAUUCUUUGUUCUAAGGUCCCUUCCUAUUUUCCAUCAUUGCUUUGGGAUCUAAAAUAUACAACUAUGAUAUGAUAUAUUUAAAGCAUAAGAGGAACAAGGUCAUUUGGAAUUCCCUCAAGCUAAAUGGCUAUAAGUAAUCAACCAGAGAGAGUAUGGACUGAUUUCUUGAUUUAGAUCACAACUUAAGAAAUCUGAUUUGGAAGCACAAUGAUGGACAUCAAGUCAAGGUCUGGGUGAGUUGUGUCACCAUAUUUACUGUGAAUGAUACCCUAAAUCAUAUAUGUUCAGUGGCUACCAGGAUGUAGCUCCACACUGAAUCUUGCCUAUUAUGGAUUCCGAAGGGCAAGGAAGUUUUCAAAUAGCAAAAGGAAACCAGACUGCGCAUUUCGUACAGCUGCUCGAGCCAUAAAAGAAAAAAUUAACCAAGCCUAUUAGUCUCCCAGUUUCUUUUUUCCCCAUAAAAGCAGCAGUUGGCAAUAAAUGCCAUUCUAUUUCUAAUAGAUGAAUGGCCCAGUCAUGAUAAAUCCACUAGCAUUUUCAAAGAAGGUGCAUUAAAUUCAGCACAUUUUCUGUGGUGAUAGCAUUAAGCUUUUUAAAGACUUGACAGUGGACAUUUAUUAAAGUUGAAACUCUUCAAGCUUGUACAAGGCUGGACCCAAGGCAUUCAAGAUGACUUGGAAGCUCGAGGCCAGAGUGUAUAUGGAUGGCAGCCCCUCUCAUUCCAUGGUAAAGGCGUACAUGACUGAGGGCAAACUUAUCUGAGCCUUGUGCUCAGCUAGAAAUCCUUAGGCCUGGGACAUAUUCAGAUAGGCAGGAGUAAGGAGGACAUUCGUGGCAGAGAGGACAAUCUACCCAUAGCUACAGUCUCAGAUGGAACUGGGAUGGUCUAUCCUCCACUCUGUGCUUCUUACUUGGGAUCAGGGUGAGGGGAAGGGAGGCCCUGGAAGACGGGUGCCAUGAUGACCUUGAGGUUCAGGCUAGAGGUCAUGGUCCCAGUGACCAUGUGGUAUGGUCAUGGCAUGACGAUGGUGAUGGAGAGAGAGCACAAAAUCCUCCUCUCCCUCCUAGCUCAUGCCAGUGGCUUGGUGUGGCCACCUAUACAUAACCCAGCCUUGGCAUCAGGAAAAUAUCAGAACACUGUUAACAGAGUGUCCGGAACACAAGCUUUCAGAGAGAUUGGCUUUUCUCCAUGUUUGAAGAGGUAGAGUCAUAAAGUGGAAAGAGUCCUGGAGCUAGAAAUAAGAAAGCCCUGGGUGACCUUUGAUCACUGCUUCUUAGCCCUUUGACCUGGAGCCCUUUUCUUUAUCUCUCUGGACUUCAGGUUCAUGGGUCAAAACAAAGGAGUCAAUCAAUCAAUCAAUGUUUAUUGAGUGCUUACUAUGUUAAUGUUUUUCAAAAAUUAGUCUUUCAAAUAUCUGACUUAAAAAAACCAAAUUUUAUUGAUCUUUUGUUUUGAUAUCACCCCAAUUUUUCUUUUUUUAUCUCUCCUCUUCCCCUUCUCAGGAAGCCAUCACAAAGUAUAUAUAUAUAUAUAUAUAUAUAUGUACACACACACACACACACACACAUAUAUCCUUUAUUUCCAUUUUAGAAUCAAUACUGUGUAUUGGUUCCAAUGCAGAAGAAUAGCUAGGCAAUGGGAGUUAAGUGACUUGCCCAAGGUCAUAAGGAAGUGUCUGAGGCCACACUUAAACCCAGGACCUCUUGUCUCGAGGCCUGACUAUCUACUGUGCCACCUAGCUGCCCCAAACAAAGAAUAUUUUUAAAGAAAAAAACCCCAACAAAAUCUAUCAAUACAUUGAAAAAAUAUGAAAAUAUAUGGAGUUUUUCAUAGUCGUGGACUUCCCACUUCUACAGAGGAGAAAAGAAAGAUAUCCAUCCAUAGCUUUUCCUUGGGACCAUGUUUAUUUAUUUAUUUCAGAAUUUUGUAACAUUCACAGUUAAUAGCUUUUAAAAAAUAAUUUCUUUUUUUUUAAACCCUUACUUUCUUAGAAUUGAUACUAAAUGUCAGUUCCAAGGCAGAAGAGAGGUAAGGGGUAGGCAAAUAGGGUUAAGUGACUUGCCCAGGGUCCCACAGCUAGGAAAUAUCAAAAGCUAUAUUUGAACCCAGAACCUCCCUUCUCCAGGCCUGGCUUUCUCCACUGAACCACCUAUCUGAACCUGUCAAUUGCAUUGUGAUGGUUCUCUCCUUGUACUAAAUGAUUAUAAUAAACUAGCUAAUUUCUUAGGUCCCUUGCAGCUCUAGCCUCCUCACAACUUUGAUCCUAGGGGUUUCCUCUUCUCUGUUCUAUCUUGCCUUUUCUCCAUCUCUUUUCUGCUCUAUCUUCCUCCCUUCUGCAUGGUCAUUAACUUCUCCCUCGAUGAUAGAAACCUUUAACAUCUCCGCCUUCUUGGCACAUCCUGCCCUCGUGGAAGAUGGCAGUAAUGCACAAUUUUACAGAGUGUAUAAUUGCAAAAUCCUUUCCACUGAGUCCCAGCUCCUCCACAAAGCCUUCUUUGGUAGAGCUAGCUAACCCUGACUCCUCAUCUCCAUUCAGUUAAACUCAAGCCAAUGGAUAUUUAUUACAUGCCUGUUAUAGUCAAGGGACAGGGCCAUAUUAGAGAAUGAACUGGUCUUGAAGUUGGGAAGAUCUAUGUUCAAGUUGUACUUCUGACUCAGGUCAGCCCUGUGACCCUGGGCAAAUGACUCAGCUAUAUAAUGUCUAAGUACUAAGCCAGUGUCUGAGGCAGGAUUAGAACGCAAGAACUCAAGAAUGAGAAUUCUAGAAUUCAAGACCUGCACUUUACCUACUGAGCUACCUGUUCUGAGAGGUGAAAACACUCACCCAAGGUCAUAGUGGUAGUCAAUAAAAGAUCCUGGAUUCACACCCAAUCUGCUGACUUCAAAUCCAGUGCUCUUUAUAUUAUAAGCCUAUUUUGCACUGUGGUUACAAACACUUUGCACUCAUUUCAUUUGAUUUACAAUAAUAUUAUGAUGUAGGAAAUGUGGGUAUGAUUAUCCUUAAGUGUUAGAUAAAGAAAUUUGUGAUUUACUUUCCCAGUGUUUCUUGACUGGAACAUGGUAAAUCUAAGACUUGAACUCAGAUCUCCUGACUCCCAGUCUAGCGUUUGCAUUUAUCUUAUGGCAAGCUAAAAUCACUUAGUUCUACCUAACCACAUAUCCAUUAGAUAGUUGGAAUCGGAAAAUAAAUAAGGAUACAAAAAAUUCAUGAACAAGGUAUGAACCAGCAAGUUUAAUUACACAAAUCACAUUGUGGGAACCCCCCCCUCAGAUAUAUGCAUUAGCACUGAUGUAACUUUACUGAUAAGCUAUGUACAAAGUUAUGAGGUAUGCCACAAGUGUGACUAUAAAGUGAUGAAACUGGAUUUUGUUUAUGGUUUGUGGAGGAAGAAGAGGGAAAAAUUCUAUCAGAGAUAUGUCGGAUGUGUGCCGAUUUCCUCUGUUUUCUUACUUGGUCCUAGGUGACUUGAUCAGGGCGUAUAUGUUUCCUUGUGUCCAUCUUAUAAUAGAUAGAGAAGAGGAACUCUUCUUGAAGAUAGAAGCAGCCCAUCUUUUGGGGGUCCUUCUAAUUCAGAGACCCUAGCAUGUAGUGGGUGCUCAUGAGAGAUAAUUCCUAGUUUCAACCAGGGCUCAGUUUAUUCAACUGUAAAAUGGUUGGAUGGUCUUUAAGGUCUUUUAUAUCUCUAACACGUUGAUGUUUUAAAGUUUUAAGACCCAUUUCAGUUGUGGCAUCCUGUGUUUUAUGUUCUAAUAUUUCUGAGUUAAUUGUAAUAGGUACAUUGCAGGAUGAUGCAAUGUAAGAGCAGGAGUCGUUCUAAGAUCCCAAGGUCAGUGGUAAUUGAGCUUCUGAAAAUAUUCAAAGAACGAUGAAGAGGAUGAAACCUGUGUGGAGCAAAAGAAUUAUGCCAGGAGCAAAAAGUCUGUGUCAAUACAAAGAAUGAUACCACGUCCUUGGGUAGAAGAGGACAGCAACGUGGUCAAAGAGUUGAAAGUGCUUUAUUGAUUUACUAGGAUUCCUUUCAGCAUUCCUAUGAGUUAAUUCUCUUUCAGGAGAGGAAAUGAAGCAGAGAGUGAAUUCUAUGAUUAGCCCCCGUGGUAGGGCAGAGUGAUUCAGGAAGAUAUAAUAAGCUCUGUUUACUAGUUCACACUCUUUGUGGUAUGCUCUAAAUUUGCUAAGUGCUUUGCAGUCAAUUUUGUUAGAGACUUAUUGGCUAUCCUUUAUAGCAGAGAAACAUUUUAGGUAUCCAAAAGGGAAGAUACUCUAAACCAUGCCAUGCAUUCUCUUGAAGGAACUUAGAAUAUUUAGUUUGGAGAAGAGAAGACUUUGGGGAAACAUGGAUUUUUUUUUCAACUAUUUAAAGGGUUCUCCCAUGCAAGGGAAUUUGCUUUCUUUUUCUUGGCAAUAGAGCACAAUAUAUGAUCAAUAGGUGGAAAUUAUUGGGAGUAAAAUUUGGGCACAAUAGAAGGAACAACUUCCUAAUAAUUUGAGUUGCUUGUUGAAAAUGGAGACCUUUAAGAAUAGUGUAGAUGAUCAAUCAUAUGGGACGCAAAACAUAUUCAUGUUUUAGAUAGGGGAUUGGACUUGGUGACUUCUGAUCAGUGGUAUACUGGCAAAUAAGUUAUCAAUAGUAUCUGGGGGGAAGUGUAUGGGCAAAACACUUAAGUUUAAGUCUGAAUUAUUAACAUUUUCUCCAACAUUUUCUGAAGUAGCAUUUGCCAAUUUGUUUAACCUCUCCACAAAUGCUCACAGUGAGAAUUUAAGCAGAACCAAUUCAUACGUUUUUAAUCCAUUGUUUUUCUAAGUUGUAUAUUUGAUUUGUAUCUUCACAAAUAUUUACUUUGUGUUUUAGACAUUAUGUAAGGAAACAAGAUGAAAACAACACAUAGUCUCUUUCUUUAAGAUGCUUUCAGUUGAAGAUGGAAGACAUAAAAAAAAAUCACAAAUCAAGAGACUCGCUAGACUGAAUAAUAAGGAUCAUAAAUGCUACAGGAAUCAGAUAAAAGAGUGAUCACAAGGGCCUGAAGUUAUGGGAAAAGGCAGAUGAUAUGAAAGGAUUUGAUCUAAAUCUUGAAAUAUGGGUAAAGUGGAGGAAGACAGAGGGUAUUUCAAGGAGGAGAAGAGAUAUAAACAGAGGCAGAGGGAUACUCAUGAUCUUUCUUUUUUUGCUCUGAAAAUGUAGAAUAGAAAGCCAACCUCAAAACCAACCUGACUUGGGCUCAAGCCGCACCUCUGACACAUGCUGAUCACAUGAUCCUGGGAAAGUCACUUAAACUUUUAGUAAUUAUCUAAGAUGAUAAAUUACUCAAGGUGCCAAUCUCUGUUGGUAGAAAAUGUUUCAUCACUUAGGAGUUUUUUGUACCAGUGAAAUCUCAGAUCUGGCCCCUAUCUUGAAAGUAAUUAAAGUUUGUGCAUCCCUACAUGUGGAAGACCCCAUGGACAUACUUCUUGGAAAAGACAUACUCAUUCCCUUGCCAAGCAAAUGCUUCCAUCUUGGGUAAUCUGGUCAUUUACAAACUCACCUUAGAUUCAUAAGAAAACAAAUGGGAAUAUGAUAGAAGAUUUAACUUGAGGGCUACUGAGAUAUUAGUUUCAUGGAAUACAAUUUUUGUGUGGACGUGGGGGCUUGAAAACCAAGCUGAGGAGUUGCAACCUUAUAUUGUGGUGGGGGGCGGGCAGGAUUGAAAGUAUUUUGAUAGAGGAGGGACAUAAUGAGAACUGUGUUUUAGGAAGAUUAAUCAGUCAGAUGGUCUUGUGCAGGAUGAUGGGCAGAGACUAUAUAUUUCCACAUAAUGAGAAAAUUGAGCUGCUGUCCUGGGUUGUACAAACUCACUGCCUCAGUUUUGUUUAACCUCGCCACAAAUGGAAUGGAUUAGCAUAGUCUAGAAGGUUAGUUACCUGGUACAGCAGAUGGACUGAUGAGUGAGGAAAAUUCAUCUUUAUGAGUUCAAAUCCAGUUUCUGAUAUUUACUACCUCUGUGACCCUGGGCAAGUUACUUAAACCUGUUUGCCUCAGUUUCUUCACUGAUAAAAUGAUAUGGAGAAGGAAAUGUCAAACCACUCCAGUAAUUUUGCUUAGAAAACUCCAAAUGGGAUCAUGAAGAGUCAGCCACAACUGAACAACAACAAAAGCAUGAUGGAGUGGAAAGAGUACUUUACUGGAAAUCAGAAGACUUAUUUUUCUAUCAUUGCUUUACUACUUGCUAUCUGUGUGAAUUUAGGUAAAUCAUCUUCCCACCUCUAUUUUCUCAUCUUUAAAAGGAGAGGUUUGUAGAUGAUCUCUAAUUCCUUUUGGUUCUAAAUACUAUGACUGGUGGUAAUUAGAUAGCACAGUGGAUAGAAUGCUGGACCUGGAUUCUGAAAGAUCAGAGUUUACUUACUAGCUGGGUAAUCCUGGACAAAUCACUUAAUUUGGUUGCUUCACCUUUCUCAUCUGUACAGGGAAAUAAGAAUAGCAUCAACUCUCAGAGGUUGUUCUGAGGCUAAAAUAAGAUAAUACCUAUAGCUCUGUGUAAACCUUAAAGUGCUAUAUAAAUGCUAUUAUUAUCCAGGUCUCUUUGACCUCAUGAGUGAGUUUCCUAUAGAACCAUGGAAUUGUGAAGCUAGAAGGAUCCAAAGAUUAUCUAAGCCAACCAUUAUUCAACAUAUGGAAUACUAUAUAUACUAUUCCUGUCAAAUUACUCUCUAAAGUCCAUUUGAAGACUUCUAAGGUCAGGGAACUCAUAACCUUUUGAGCCCACUUGUUUGACUUUUAGAUAGCUGUACUUUUAGACAUUUUCCCCUUCUAUUGAUUUGAAAUGCACAUUUCUGUAACUUCUACCCAUUGAUUCUUUUUUUAAAAAGAAAUAUUUAUUUUAGUUUUAUUUAAUUGGUCAAUUUAGAACAUUAUUCCUUGGUUACAAGAAUUAUAUUCUUUCCUUCUCCUCCUCCCUACCCCUUCUCAUAACCCAUGUGUAAUUCCACUGGGUUUUACACGUGUCUUUGGUCAAAAACUUUUUUCAUGUUGUUGAUGUUUACACUAGGAUGAUCAUGUAGAGUCUGCAUCCCCCAUCGUAUCUUUAUCAACACAUGUGAUCAAGCAGUUGUUUUUCUUCUGUGUUUUUGCUCCCACAGUUUUUCCUCUGAAUGUGGAUAGUAUUUUUUCUUAUAAAUCAUUCUGAGUUGUUCAGGAUCACUGCAUUGCCACUAAUGGAGAAGUCCAUUACGUUCGAUUAUACCACAGUGUCUCAGUCUCUGUGUACAAUGUUCUCCUGGUUCUGCUCCUCUCGCUCUGCAUGACUUCCUGGAGGUUGUUCCAGUCUCCAUGGAAUUCUUCCACUUUAUUAUUCCUUUGAGCACAAUAGUAUUCCAUCACCAACAUAUACCACAAUUUGUUCAGCCAUUCCCCAAUUUACAGCAGCUGGCCAGCAACCACUGCAUAAAAGGGAAAUCUAAAGUAAUGUAACUGAGGAGGAGAACAGAAGUCAGGAGAAUGGGUAAAGAAAUUGAGCAGGACACACAGAUCAAUUGAAUGAUAAGGAACAGGCACAAACUCUUUUAAUAUCUUCCUUUGUAGGGCUGUCAGUGAAGGAAGAUACGAAUAACCAAGAAUACAUGGAAUGAAGAAUUCCUAGAUAGGAAUAGAAGUCAAUAGCAGUGAAAGGUUAGGUGAGAGAGGAACAAAACAACAAAGAGAGAAGAUAUUUAGAGACCACAGUAGAGCUCCAGAGAAGGUGUGAUUCUUUUGGCAUGCAGCCAAGUCCAGAGUGAGAGGGAAAAAAGAGGAGUUGCUUGUCCUUGUCUUUUUAUUGUAGUGGAGAUUAGGAGGUACAUAAUGCAUAUGUAACAAGGCAUAUUGGAUUGUCAUUGGUUUAAAUACAAAUUACAACACUUUCUGGGCGUGGAUUCAAAAGACAAAGAAACUUGGAUUAGGGCCAGAAUGUUAAGAAUUCUGAGAUCAAAGGUCUAGACCUCCAUUGCCCAUGCAUAGGCCUGACCAUGCCUUUGUUAAUACAAUUUCCAUACAUCAAACAUUUACCUUAUACAUACAAAUGUGUGGACUGUUACACAAUUGAAGGGCAUCCCCUCAUUUUCCAAUUUUUUGCCACCACAAAGAGCGCAGCUAUGAAUAUUCUUGUACAGGUCUUUUCCCUUAUUAUCUCUUUGGUCUACCCAUUGAUUCUGCUUCUGCUCUAUGGUGUCAGUUAGGAUAAUGCUAAUGACUUUUUAAAAAAGUUUUUUGGGGGGCGGAGUUUAAAAAAUUCAACUAAUAUAUUUUGUAUUUCCUCCUUCCCACCUACCCACCAUUUAAAAGAAAAGAAAAAAAUCUUGUAAAAUAUGCAGUCAAGUAAAACAUUUACACAUUGUCUAUGUCCAAAAAAUAAAUUUCUUUUUUUGCAUCUUGAACUUAUCAUGUCUCUGUCAAAAGAUGAAUAGCAUAGUUCAUCUGUCAUCUGGAAUCAUAACUAAUCAUUACAUUGUUCAGGAUUCUUUAGUCUUUCAAAGUCAUUUUUCCAUUACAGUGUUGUAAAAUUGUUUUCUCGUUUUUGCUAAUUUCCCUUUGAUCACUUUCCCUUUGUUCAUAAAAAGUCUCCUCAGGAUCUCUGAUGUGUAAAACCUUCAUCCCUUCAUCUUUUCUUAUUGAACAAUAGAACUCCUUUACACUUAUUUAACAUGUUUUGCCCAGCCAUUCUUCAAUUGAUAGGUACCCCCUUAGUUUCCAGUUUUCUACUACAAAAAGAACUACUAUAAAUAUUUUUGUACUCAUAAGACCUUUUCCUCUUCUUCGAACUCUGAUAGACAUGGGCCUAUAUAGUGGUAUGGCUACAGCAAAGAGUAUAUACAAUUUAGUGACUUUUUGGGGGCAAAUAAUUCCAAAUUACCUUUUAGAAUGACUGGAUCAGUUGACAUCUUCACCAACAGUGCCUUAGUACUCGUUUUACACGUAGACCUUCCAAUAUUUCUCAUUUCCCUUUUGUGUCAUUUUUGCCAAACUGAUGAAUGUGAGGUUGAACCCAAGAGUUGCUCUAAUUAUUUAGAUUUAGAAUGUUUUUAUAUGAUUGUUAAUAGUUUAGAUGCCUUUCUUUGGGAACUGUCUUUUCAUAUCCUUUGGUCAUUUAUCAAUUGGAGAAUGGUUCUUAUCUGGUGUAAUUUCCUCAUGGCCGUCCUUCAAAUCUUUGAAGACAGUUAUCAAAUCACUUACCUGCUCCUUGCUCCAAAUCUUUUCAUCUUCAAGGUAAACACUUCCAAUCCUUUCAGCUGAAGCUCAGAGAGAUGGAAUAACAUGCAUGGUGACACAGCUAGUGUGAGACCAGGGAUUUUAAAACACUGGAAGGACAAGAUAUAGCAAUUGGCACAAUUGAAUGCAAGAAUUUCAAAAUAAUUUACUGUAAUUAACAUUAAUUAAUAAUUUACUGUAAUUAACAUUAACUUCUAUAUGACCUAAUGCAUUUAAACAUAAUUACAGGCAGACAUUAUAAUUUUACUUUGAAAUAAAAAUUUUCACCCUACUUUCCCUAAUAUAUGCAAAUGCCCUGAAUCAGUGGACACAGCUGUGUCUUUGAAGGUAUUCCUCUUAAAGUCCAGCCCUUCUGUUAAAUUCAGACCUUCAGGCUAUAAAAUCAGAGCUGUUUUCAUGACCGGGAUUCUUAUCUAAGGGUCCAUGAACUUAUGUUUUAAAAAAUAUUUUAGUAACUAUUUCAAUAACACUAAUUUCCUUUAUAAUUUUAUUUUACACAUUAAACAUUAUUCUGGGGGCAGCCAGUGGAUAGAGAACCAGUCAGGAGGACCUGGGUUCAAAUCUAGAUUAAGAUAUUUCCUAGUGGUAUGCUGUGGGGCAAGUCACGACUCCAAACUGCCCAGCUCUUACUGCUCUUCUGCCUUGGGAUAGAUUCAUGGUAUUGACUCUAAUACAGAAAGCAAGGUUUUUAAAAACAAACAAGCAAAAAAACCCAAACCCCAAACUUGAUUCGGAGAAGGGUUCUACAGAAUGUCUCACUGGCCUGCCAAAGGAUCUACAACCCAUAAAAAGAUUAUGAACCAGAGGCAGAUAGGUGGCUAAGUGGAAAGAGAGCCAAGCCUAGAGUCAGGAGGUCCUGGGUUCAAAUCUAACCUCAGAUACUUCCUAACUGGGUGACCCUGGACAAAUCACUUAAUCCCUAUUGCCUAGUCUUUACUGCUUUUCUGCCUUGAAACCCAUACAGUAUUUGUUCUAAGAUAGAAGGUAAGGGUUUAAAACAAAGUUUAUGAGCCACUGCUUCACUAAAUCAUGCCAACUUCCUCUAGGCAGCUAGUUAAGUCCAAGUUGCCCUAGGAUAGAUUUAGAUGCUGGAUACAGUCACAUGGUUUAUUGAAUAUAUUUUAAAACUUCACUUCUCAAGUCAAAAUUUGUUUAAAUAUUUAUUUGCCUUUGACUCACUUUCUAGCACUUUUAAAUGUUUUUACUUUAAUUGUCAAAUUACUGUCAACGUUGUUUUCACAAUUUUUUUUAAUUGUUCUGUUCCUUCCACUGUCUAAGACGUUACAGACAAUGGUCAUAAAUCUCCCUGAAAAGAAAACAGAAGUGUCUAUUUUAAUUUUGUAUCAAUUUUCCAAUGUCUGGAAAGCAUCGUGGGAGAAUAGAGGAAAACAUUCUUUUAUGAGCAUUUGAAAUUGCUGGUGCUUUUGUUUACUUAGAAUAUUGCUGUUUAUGAUAAUGUACAAAAGGCUUGGUCAGGAAACAAACAUAGGUGCCUAGAUAUAAUAAUAAUGAUAAUAGCUUUUAAAUGGUUCUUUAAGGUUUUUGAAGCUAUGUACAUAUUUUAUUUAAUUCCUACAAUUAUUAUUAUUAUUAUUAUUAUUACCCAACUUUAACAGAUGAGGAAACUGAGACUGAAAAAAAUUUGAACUAAGUUCUUUCUAACUUGGUCGCUUAUUCCUCCUAUUCCUUGUAUUACCUGUUUCUAAAUUUAGAGCUAGAAGGGACUUAAGAAGCUAUCUAGUACAACUCUUUCAUUUUACAGAAGAGGAAACUGAGGACUAGGGAGGGUAUAUGACUUGCCCAAAGUCCCACAAUCAGUGCCAGAAGCAAGACUAAAACCUGCUAUCUUCUGAUUCCAGAGACAACACGCUUUCCAAUUUGCUGCCUGUCAUGCAAUCUCAGUUUGGAUUAGGAGUAGAUAAGGAAAGGGAAGGUGAAUAAUUUAAUUAAGGGAUUUUUGGCAAGUCAUCUCUCUGUCUAGGCUUCCAUAACCUUAUUUGGGUGACUAGGGAUACAGACCUUUGCUUUACCUGUGUGUGUUUUUUUUUUAAAUACCCUUUGGAGAAAAUGCAAUAUUAAAUGGUAAAGCAUUUUUUAAAAAGUUGAAAUUCUACAAAUGUAAAGUACUUUUGUCCUUUCAAUUCAAUUGAACCAACAAAUAAAAAUAAAUUUGUUUCUAUUUUUUUAUUCUCCCUAAAUUUUCCCCAGCCAUCUUCCUCCUCCCUUUUCCUAGAGAGCUAUUCCAUAUGACUAAUAUAAUUUUUAAAAAAAAGUGAAAGAAGGGGAAAAUCAGCAGAACCAAUACACUGAAGAAUCUGAAAAUAUAAGAAAUGUUCCAUAUCUGUGGGCCUUCUCCUUCUGCAAAGUACCAAAGAGAGGUAACAUCUCAUUUCUUCAAUGGGACCAAGCUAAUUCUUUGUGAUAUUGCAACAUUCAUUUCUGUUUGUGGUUUUUGCUCUACUUCCACUCUGUAAUUACAUAUUGUUAUCAUAGCUGUGAUCAUUAUAUCUAUUAUUUUCUUGGCUCUGCUUACUUAACUUGGCUUUGCAUUAUUUAAACAUGUCUUUGAUUGCUUCUUUGUAUUUGUCAUAUUUGUCAUUUCUUAUAGCAUAAUAAUAUUCUAUACAUUCGCUUACUAUAAUUUGUCUAGCCAUCCCCCAAUUGAUGGACAUCUAUUUUUGUUUCCAGUCUUUUGCUACCACAAAAAGUGCUGCUAUAAAUCUUUUGAUAUCUUUUGGGGAAUUUCUUUUUUAGCAAUACCUCCUUUGGGUAUAUGUAUAGUAGUAGAAUCUCUGAGUAUAGGUAUUUUCACCACUUCAUUUGCAUACUUCCAAGUGUCUUUCCAAAAUGGUUGUAUUAAAUCACAGCUCCAUCAAUAAUGCAUCAGUGUGUCUCUUUUCAUGGUCCCUUUAACAUAGGUUAUUCCCAUCUUUCAAAAAUCAUUUUCUUAAGCAUCUAAGAUGUGCGUGGCAUGGUCCGAGGUUCUCAAGAUACAAAGUUCAAAAAUGACCCUACUAUUUUCUGAAAAGAAUAAAUUAAAUAAUAGUAUUAUUGUUAUUUAAUUGUAAUUUAAUAAUAAAUUAAGUAAACAACAGUAAAGAAUUGAUUAAGAAGUACUGAAUUUGGAACAAGGAGACCUUGGCUCAAUCUCUGAUCCAAGAUGACUAUGUGAGCACAGACAAGUUUCUUCCAUGCUAUGUUAAGUAAACUUCCAUAAACAAACUGUCCUAAGAUCUAAAAGUGUAUCGUUUUGAUACAUUUCCAAACCUCAGUCACUAGACUGGCCUGAUUCAGGUCCGGAUAACAAAACUGAAUGGCUAGAGUUGUAGAGAUAGGAAUAGGGCCUCAGUCUGUGAUUCUGCUGAAACUCCUUGUUGAGGAAGCUUCCUUUUCUGAUGCAGGUUGGCAUCUUCUCUUGGAAAAUUGUCUAGAACACUGACAGUUUGAGGGACUCACUCACAUUCACAACAUGUUGUCUUUCAAACUAGAAUUAUACAACCACAGAAUAAUUGUUCGAUAUCAAAUAAUAUGACCCCACUUUUAAAUGGAUUAAUAGGCACCAGGGUUUCCAGAUGGGGAAGAGAAUGUCAGUUGGAGUAAUCAUAGGGGGAAGUAGGACAUGAAUGAUUUUGCAUAAUUCCAAAUGUCUUUCCAAAAUGGUUGUACUAAAUCACAGCUCCAUCAAUAAUGCAUUAGUGAGUCUAUCUUUUGACAACCCCUUUAACAUGGUCUAUUUUUCUUAAGGAAGGAAGGAAGGAUGUGAUUGGUGCUAUCAGAUAGGGGAAGAGAGGAAAUUAUCUGGGCAAAGGAAGCUGAAUAAGGAGGAACAAUCCACAUGUAACCAUUUAAAUCUGGUUCAAAGACUUUCCAUUUUUUGUUAGCAAAGAACAAAUCUCAAUCAAAUGCUGAAAUUCCUAAAUCUGAUGUGAUAUGAGUGCACACACACAUAAUCUC